GAUGAACGCUGGCGGCGUGCCUAAUACAUGCAAGUCGAGCGAAUGGAUUAAGAGCUUGCUCUUAUGAAGUUAGCGGCGGACGGGUGAGUAACACGUGGGUAACCUGCCCAUAAGACUGGGAUAACUCCGGGAAACCGGGGCUAAUACCGGAUAGCAUUUUGAACCGCAUGGUUCGAAAUUGAAAGGCGGCUUCGGCUGUCACUUAUGGAUGGACCCGCGUCGCAUUAGCUAGGUGGUGAGGUAACGGCUCACCAAGGCAACGAUGCGUAGCUGACCUGAGAGGGUGAUCGGCCACACUGGGACUGAGACCCGGCCCAGACUCCUGCGGGAGGCAGCAGUAGGGAAUCUUCCGCAAUGGCCGAAAGUCUGACGGAGCAACGCCGCGUGAGUGAUGAAGGCUUUCGGGUCGUAAAACUCUGUUGUUAGGGAAGAACAAGUGCUAGUUGAAUAAGCUGGCACCUUGACGGUACCUAACCAGAAAGCCACGGCUAACUACGUGCCAGCAGCCGCGGUAA
rnacentral:rRNA from 1 species